rnacentral:rRNA from 1 species
GACGAACGCUGGCGGCGUGCUUAACACAUGCAAGUCGAACGGAAAGGCCCUGCUUUUGUGGGGUGCUCGAGUGGCGAACGGGUGAGUAACACGUGAGUAACCUGCCCUUGACUUUGGGAUAACUUCAGGAAACUGGGGCUAAUACCGGAUAGGAGCUCCUGCUGCAUGGUGGGGGUUGGAAAGUUUCGGCGGUUGGGGAUGGACUCGCGGCUUAUCCGCUUGUUGGUGGGGUAGUGGCUUACCAAGGCUUUGACGGGUAGCCGGCCUGAGAGGGUGACCGGCCACAUUGGGACUGAGAUGCGGCCCAGACUCCUACGGGAGGCAGCAGUGGGGAAUAUUGCACAAUGGGCGGAAGCCUGAUGCAGCAACGCCGCGUGCGGGAUGACGGCCUUCGGGUUGUAAACCGCUUUCGCCUGUGACGAAGCGUGAGUGACGGUAAUGGGUAAAGAAGCACCGGCUAACUACGUG